GGUCGAGCGGCGAUCGGAGGCAAGCGGCGAUCGGCGAUUUUGAGGUAUACUGGAUUUUGAGCAAAGGUCCUCCUCCCUCUCUCCGAUCGAGCCAUAGUUCCUCCUCCCUCUCUCCGAUCAAGCCCUCCUCCCUCUCUCCGAUCGAGCAAAGUUCCUCUUGGUCACUGGAUUUUGAGCGAUAAUUUGUAGAGUUUUGCUAUCAUGGGCUAUAUGGACACAAUUCUACGGAGCUUAAGAAUGUGAAAGACAAGCUUUUCUCUCUCUUCAAUGAGUACUCGAGCAAUACGGAUGGUGAUAGAAGAAGGAACUUGAAGAAAUCAAGCAAUGAGGGAACUUCUCGUGUGUAUGAUGACACAUUUGAUCAAGAUUGCAUUGAUAUCUUGAGGGAAUUCGACUCGUUUGCAAUUAGAUAUUGGAGAAUGUAUGCCAACACAAGUAUGAACCUCUCAUACUGUGAUGCGGUAGCUGAAGAGAAGCAGCUAGGGGGUGACCUUCAAAUGCAUGAGAGAUGAUGUCAUUACUUAUAAACAUGGUUGUUGCUGCUAAGCAGCUGCGCAAGGAGUUGAGCAGUGCCAAAUGAACAAAUAGAGAGAGAAAUGUUUAUUUUGUUGCCUAUUUUAAUAACUUGGGAUUCUGUUAUGUUGAUUGGUAUUUUAGAUUUGUUGAGGGAAGUGUAAGAGGAUAUUUAGAGUGAGUACUUGUUUUCAUUGAGAGUAAGCUAAGUUUCUGUAGGCAUAUAUGCUUUGAUUGUUUUUUUAUUUAGGUAAUGUAUGGAUGCUAGUGAUGAUUAUAUAGAGAGCUAUGAUUGUUUUUUUUUAUUUAGGUAAUGUAUGGAUGCUAGUGAUGCUUUUUAA